rnacentral:lncRNA from 1 species
AUUAAAACCUGUUGAACCCAAAGGACCUGCUCUUCAACAUUCUGAACUAUGUUUGCAUGCGCUUCAAAACUUAGCCCAAAAAUCCUCAAGAAAUUAUUCCUAAGAACCCGUUCCUAAAUUUUCUGAAGUAAGUAUGCAUGUACUGUAACUCUUAGCCAAAAAUUCCUCAAGAAGAAAUUCCUAAGGACCUGUUCGUAAACAGUCCAAACUAAGUUUGAAUAUGUUGCACACUUAGUCAAAAUUCCUCAAGAAGUAGGGGUGGAGCCAUAUGCAGUCGAGUGCAGGUUGGUGCCCGCACUCAAUUUUGGGCUACCCUAGUUAAAUAAUUGUUGUCCCUGUACCAAUGGAGAGGGCAAUACCAUCACUCAACUGUGAAUGAAGAUGCAGCAUCGCCUUUUUUUGAAGUUCUGGAAACUUCAUAUUUACUCUCGUUUCUUGAAGCAAGAAUUGAAUAAUACGUAAAAUUCGCUGUCUUCCACCAUUCUACGGGGCUUCUGGGAGAAAUAUUGUGUGGGAUAAAAGUGGGCUAGAGAAAAAUGUCCACUGCCAUUCUAUAGAUUUUUGGGAAAAAGUAGUGCGUGAAUGAAAAAUGGGCUGCUGGAAUAAAUUAGGGGAAAUGAGUAUUUUCCACUUUGUAAAAGUGUGGUUUGUCAUAAAAUUAGUUGUAAAAGUCUCUUUGUUAUAGAGAAUUUUUUUUACACUUCAAAUUUAAAAGUAAAUUUUGCCUGCCCA